CGCGUAGGUGGUUCGAUGAGUCGGAGGUGAAAUCCCUCGGCUCAACCGAGGACCCGCGUCCGAUACUGUCGAACUUGAGUGCAGGAGAGGAGAGCGGAAUUCCCAGUGUAGCGGUGAAAUGCGUAGAUAUUGGGAGGAACACCGGCGGCGAAGGCGGCUCUCUGGACUGUUACUGACACUGAGGCGCGAAAGCUAGGGGAGCAAACGGGAUUAGAUACCCCGGUAGUCCUAGCCGUAAACGAUGGGCACUAGGUGUGGGAGGUAUCGACCCCUUCCGUGCCGCAGCUAACGCAUUAAGUGCCCCGCCUGGGGAGUACGGCCGCAAGGUUGAA
rnacentral:rRNA from 1 species